UAAAAUUUGCUCUUUUAGUAUUUGUCCAGUAGGUUUCCUUUAAAAGGAAGCCCAU
ensembl:snRNA U7 U7 small nuclear RNA